CUGCCGCUGCUACUGCCGCCGCCGCUGCUGCCACCGCUACUGCUGCUGGCAGAGCUGCAGGGAGUGAGCAUCCCGGGUUCGGGAUACCCAGCUCCACCGCAUCUCCCUCGCGUCCUGGCUCACACGGACCUGCCCACCCCUGGGAACAAAAGCGGAUCUGCUCGCCCUCUCCUACAGCCGGAGGAUGAUUCGGGAGGGCUGAGCGGAGAGUGCGGUCUUCGGCGGCUGGAAGCUAUGUCCUUGGCUUCUCUUGAUGACGAUUCCUGACUCGUGUCCCUGGCAAUCUUGGGAAAACAUCAGCCACUUUCUUCAGUCCAGACCUCAGGACCCGCCUUUCCCCCGCAUCACCCCCACCCAGCCUGGACACAUUGACCAAACCGUUUUCUAGGACAUACCAUUCUGCAAGACAUGGUGGUGGUGAACCCUGACUCCAACUCUUCCUGACUGAGAGGCUCUGUUGCACAACUCAAAGGUGCAUCAAAUGAGGUUUAGAU